rnacentral:rRNA from 1 species
AGAGUUUGAUCCUGGCUCAGGAUGAACGCUAGCGACAGGCUUAACACAUGCAAGUCGAGGGGCAGCACAGGUAGCAAUACCGGGUGGCGACCGGCGCACGGGUGAGUAACGCGUAUGCAACUUACCUAUCAGAGGGGGAUAACCCGGCGAAAGUCGGACUAAUACCGCAUGAAGCAGGGGCCCCGCAUGGGGAUAUUUGCUAAAGAUUCAUCGCUGAUAGAUAGGCAUGCGUUCCAUUAGGCAGUUGGCGGGGUAACGGCCCACCAAACCGACGAUGGAUAGGGGUUCUGAGAGGAAGGGCCCCCACAUUGGGACUGAGACACGGACCAAACUCCUACGGGAGGCAGCAGUGAGGAAUAUUGGUCAAUGGGCGUAAGCCUGAACCAGCCAAGUCGCGUGAGGGAUGAAGGUUCUAUGGAUCGUAAACCUCUUUUAUAAGGGAAUAAAGUGCGGGACGUGUCCCGUUUUGUAUGUACCUUAUGAAUAAGGAUCGGCUAACUCCGUGCCAGCAGCCGCGGUAAUACGGAGGAUCCGAGCGUUAUCCGGAUUUAUUGGGUUUAAAGGGUGCGUAGGCGGCCUUUUAAGUCAGCGGUGAAAGUCUGUGGCUCAACCAUAGAAUUGCCGUUGAAACUGGGGGGCUUGAGUAUGUUUGAGGCAGGCGGAAUGCGUGGUGUAGCGGUGAAAUGCAUAGAUAUCACGCAGAACCCCGAUUGCGAAGGCAGCCUGCCAAGCCAUGACUGACGCUGAUGCACGAAAGCGUGGGGAUCAAACAGGAUUAGAUACCCUGGUAGUCCACGCAGUAAACGAUGAUCACUAGCUGUUUGCGAUACACUGUAAGCGGCACAGCGAAAGCGUUAAGUGAUCCACCUGGGGAGUACGCCGGCAACGGUGAAACUCAAAGGAAUUGACGGGGGCCCGCACAAGCGGAGGAACAUGUGGUUUAAUUCGAUGAUACGCGAGGAACCUUACCCGGGUUUGAACGCAUUCGGACCGAGGUGGAAACACCUUUUCUAGCAAUAGCCGUUUGCGAGGUGCUGCAUGGUUGUCGUCAGCUCGUGCCGUGAGGUGUCGGCUUAAGUGCCAUAACGAGCGCAACCCUUGCCACUAGUUACUAACAGGUAAAGCUGAGGACUCUGGUGGGACUGCCAGCGUAAGCUGCGAGGAAGGCGGGGAUGACGUCAAAUCAGCACGGCCCUUACAUCCGGGGCGACACACGUGUUACAAUGGCGUGGACAAAGGGAAGCCACCUGGCGACAGGGAGCGAAUCCCCAAACCACGUCUCAGUUCGGAUCGGAGUCUGCAACCCGACUCCGUGAAGCUGGAUUCGCUAGUAAUCGCGCAUCAGCCAUGGCGCGGUGAAUACGUUCCCGGGCCUUGUACACACCGCCCGUCAAGCCAUGGGAGCCGGGGGUACCUGAAGUCCGUAACCGCGAGGAUCGGCCUAGGGUAAAACUGGUGACUGGGGCUAAGUCGUAACAAGGUAGCCGUACCGGAAGGUGCGGCUG